rnacentral:rRNA from 1 species
AACGAACGCUGGCGGCAUGCCUAACACAUGCAAGUCGAACGAGACCUUCGGGUCUAGUGGCGCACGGGUGCGUAACGCGUGGGAACCUGCCCUUAGGUUCGGAAUAACUCCCCGAAAGGGGUGCUAAUACCGGAUAAUGUCUUCGGACCAAAGAUUUAUCGCCUUUGGAUGGGCCCGCGUUGGAUUAGCUAGUUGGUAGGGUAAAAGCCUACCAAGGCGACGAUCCAUAGCUGGUCUGAGAGGAUGAUCAGCCACACUGGGACUGAGACACGGCCCAGACUCCUACGGGAAGCAGCAGUGGGGAAUAUUGGACAAUGGGCGAAAGCCUGAUCCAGCAAUGCCGCGUGAGUGAUGAAGGCCUUAGGGUUGUAAAGCUCUUUUACCCGGGACGAUAAUGACAGUACCGGGAGAAUAAGCUCCGGCUAACUCCGUG